CUGAGCCGCCCCGUCCGCCCGCGCGUCCCGCCCCGUGGGCUCCCCGUGGCUGCUUCCCGCCCGCUGUCCUCUGCUGCCAGUCCUCUGCCCCGGGCAAAGCCCAUCUGGUCCGUUGAGCAGGCCGGAGCUAUUGGGAGUGGCGGAUCCUCCCACCCCUGCCGGAUCUGGGCCAUGGCCGAGCCUGGAGAGGGACUGCCAGAGGAGGUGCUGGCACUCAUCUUCCGCCACCUGCCCCUGAGAGACCGUGCUGCCGCCGCCAGGGUCUGCAGGGCCUGGGCCGCCGCUGCUACCUGCAGCGCCGUGUGGCACGACACAAAAAUCAGUUGCGAAUGUGAGCUGGAAGGCAUGCUGCCACCUUAUCUGUCCGUCUGCCUCGACCAUGUUCACAACCUACGGCUGGAAUUUGAGCCAUCGAGGAAGCCGAGCCGCCGGGCGGCCAUCGAGCUGCUGAUGGCCCUGGCGGGCCGUGCCCUGGGGCUGCGAGGCCUGCGCCUGGAGUGCCGCGGAGAAAAGCCGCUCUUCGACGCGGGCCGCGACGUCCUGGAGGCUGUGCACGCUGUAUGCGGGGCGGCCAGCCAGCUACGCCACCUCGACCUGCGGCGCUUGCCCUUCACACUGGACGACGCGCUGGUGCUGCAGGCGGCGCGCAGCUGUCCCGAGCUCCACAGCCUUUUUCUGGACAACAGUACCCUGGUGGGCAGCGUGGGUCCCGGCUCAGUGCUCGAGCUACUGGAGGCCUGCCCGCGCCUGCGCGCUCUCGGCCUGCACCUAGCCAGUUUGUCGCACGCCAUCCUCGAAGCGCUGGCUGCGCCAGACCGCGCGCCUUUCGCGCUCCUGGCUCUGCGGUGCGCGUGCCCCGAAGAUGCACGCGCGCCCCCGCUGCCCAACGAAGCCUGGAUCGCGUUGCGCCGCCGCCACCCUGGGCUGGCAGUGGAGCUGGAGCUGGAGCCCGCGCUGCCCGCUGAGAGCGUGACGCGCGUCCUGCAGCCAGCGGUCCCCGUGGCUGCGCUGCGCCUCAACCUCUCAGGCGACACCGUAGGCCCAGUGCGCUUCGCAGCGCACCACUACGCCGCAACCCUGUGCGCGCUCGAGGUGCGCGCAGCCGCUUCAGCCGAGCUGAACGCCGCGCUGCAGGAGCUGGCGGCGCGCUGCGCGGCCCUGAGCGAGGUGCAUUGCUUCUGCGUGGUGAGCCACUCGGUGCUGGACGCCUUCCGCGCGCACUGCCCGCGCCUGCGCACCUAUACCCUCAAGCUCACGCGCGAGCCGCAUCCCUGGCGGCCUACGCUCGUGGCGUGAUUGGGCGACUUCUCUCUCCCGUCCCCGCGGACACGCCCCACACGCUCGGUCCUGGACACACUGCCCCCCUCUCUUGCCUCCACCCCUCUGCGGACUCUGCAGCUCCGCGGCCCCGGCGCGGGGAUAGGGAGGGCACGGGCGCGGGACAGGCCUCAGGGGACUUGCCCAGCCCACACCAGGUCGCGCACCGGCGAUUUCUCCCGUAGAACAAAGAAGGAAAUAGAGGGACUGAGAAGGGUGGGACUCGAACCCAAGUCUCCCACUCAUCUCACCCCACCCUACCCCACCCCUCCCCACCCCUCCACUCCACACAUCCCAUCCAGCCAGCCUUUUCUGCCUGCUGGUGCCUCGGCCGCUGUCCGAGCCCCGCCCCGCGGGCUCGCACGUGGCCCCCGCCUGACCCGGCGCCCCGGGGCGGAGUAGGGCGGAGCAGGCGGCAAACGCAGCACUUUCCGCGGCUUUGACAAGCACGCAGCGGCCGGGCUCGAGCACUGAGCCGGGCCGAGACUGCACCAUGCAGGAAGCGCCAGCCGCGCUGCCCACGGAGCCAGGCCCCAGCCCCGUGCCUGCCUUCCUCGGCAAGCUAUGGGCGCUGGUGGGGGACCCAGGCACAGACCACCUGAUCCGCUGGAGCCCG